rnacentral:rRNA from 1 species
CAGUCGCCGCGGUAAUACGUAGGGUGCAAGCGUUAAUCGGAAUUACUGGGCGUAAAGCGUGCGCAGGCGGUUCGUUAAGACAGAUGUGAAAUCCCCGGGCUUAACCUGGGAACUGCAUUUGUGACUGGCGGGCUAGAGUAUGGCAGAGGGGGGUAGAAUUCCACGUGUAGCAGUGAAAUGCGUAGAGAUGUGGAGGAAUACCGAUGGCGAAAGCACUCUGCUGGGCCGACACUGACACUGAGAGACGAAAGCUAGGGGAGCAAAUGGGAUUAGAUACCCGAGUAGUCCCUGUCUCUUAUAC